rnacentral:rRNA from 1 species
AGGAUGAACGCUGGCGGCGUGCUUAACACAUGCAAGUCGAACGAUGAAGGCUGGAGCUUGCUCUGGCUGGAUUAGUGGCGAACGGGUGAGUAACACGUGAGUAACCUGCCCCAGACUCUGGGAUAAGCGCUGGAAACGGCGUCUAAUACCGGAUACGAGCUUCCACCGCAUGGUGAGGAGCUGGAAAGAUUUCGGCUGGGAUGGACUCGCGGCCUAUCAGCUUGUUGGUGAGGUAAUGGCUCACCAAGGCGACGACGGGUAGCCGGCCUGAGAGGGUGACCGGCCACACUGGGACUGAGACACGGCCCAGACUCCUACGGGAGGCAGCAGUGGGGAAUAUUGCACGAAUGGGCGCAAGCCUGAUGCAGCAACGCCGCGUGAGGACGAGGCCUUGGUAUAACCUGUUUAGUAGGAAGAAGCGAGUGUUAUCAUUCAUGCGUACUGACAGAAAACGCACCGG